GGGACUUUGGUCUAGUGGUAUGAUUCUCGCUUUGGGUGCGAGAGGUCACGGGUUCGAUUCCCGUAAGUCCCC
rnacentral:tRNA from 1 species